AGCAAUACGUUUGUAAGCGGCGAACGGGUGAGGAAUACAUGGGUAACCUACCCUCGAGUGGGGAAUAACUAGCCGAAAGGUUAGCUAAUACCGCGUACGCUUCUUGGACUUCGGUUCAGGGAGGAAAGCGAUACCGUGGGUAUCGCGCUCUUGGAUGGGCUCAUGUCCUAUCAGCUUGUUGGUGAGGUAACGGCUCACCAAGGCUUCGACGGGUAGCUGGUCUGAGAGGACGAUCAGCCACACUGGCACUGCGACACGGGCCAGACUCCUACGGGAGGCAGCAGUAAGGAAUAUUGCGCAAUGGGCGAAAGCCUGACGCAGCGACGCCGCGUGGGGGAUGAAGGUCUUCGGAUUGUAAACCCCUUUCGGGAGGGAAGAUGGAAUGGGGUAACCCAUUCGGACGGUACCUCCAGAAGCAGCCACGGCUAACUUCGUGCCAGCAGCCGCGGUAAUACGAAGGUGGCAAGCGUUAUUCGGAUUUACUGGGCGUACAGGGAGCGUAGGCGGUUCGGUAAGCCCUUUGUGAAAUCUUCAGGCUUAACCUGGAAAAGUCGGAGGGGACUGCCGGGCUAGAGGACGGGAGAGGAGCGCGGAAUUCCCGGUGUAGCGGUGAAAUGCGUAGAGAUCGGGAGGAAGGCCGGUGGCGAAAGCGGCGCUCUGGAACGUUUCUGACGCUGAGCUCGAAAGCGUGGGGAGCAACAGGA
rnacentral:rRNA from 1 species